rnacentral:lncRNA from 1 species
AUGUGAAACUGAUUCGAAGAAUAUUAAAACUUCAUCAGAAUUCAAGGUUCAUUCGGUUAACGAUUAGAAGAAUAUAAAAACUUCAUCGUUAAACUAGAAACAAGUUGUAUAAAGAUUGAAUCUUUAUUGUUAGUAUUCUAAAUACUAAGUGGUUUGUCUAGUUGUGACAAAAAGGUUUAAAAUGUGGGGGGUUCUUUACUUGUGAUAAAGACAAAAUUAGACUUACUAUCUAAUUUAAAUUUAAAAGUACAAGAUAUGAAAUUUAAUGACAUUCUUGUAUUAUGUUAGACCCACAAAAUUCUUCGAGUAUAUUUGAUAUUGUGGUCGUUGAGUCUCUC